rnacentral:sRNA from 1 species
UAAUAAUUUUUUGAAAUUGUAUGUAAUAUAAUUUCAACCGAGAACACCGCGUUAUUUUGAGUUUGUUAACUAGAAAAAAAUCGCAAAUACUCAAUUAACUUUGCAUCACGUAGUGAUGUACAGGUUAAGUUAAAAAGGGCGCAUGGUGAAUGCCUUGGCACUAGAAGCCGAUGAAGGACGGGACUAACACCGAUAUGCUUCGGGGAGCUGUACGUAAGCUUUGAUCCGGAGAUUUCCGAAUGGGGAAACCCAACAGUUUUAAUCAGCUGUUACUAUAUGGUGAAUUCAUAGCUGUAUAGAGGUAGACGUGGGGAACUGAAACAUCUCAGUACCCACAGGAGCAGAAAGAAAUUUUCGAUUCCCUAAGUAGCGGCGAGCGAACGGGGAACAGCCCAAACCAAUGAGCUUGCUCAUUGGGGUUGUAGGACUGAACAUUUGAGUUACCAAAGUUGUUGAUAAUCGAACAAUCUGGGAAGGUUGGCGAAACAGGGUGAUAGCCCCGUAGGUGAAAUCAAUGACCCUCAGUUCAGGAUCCUGAGUACGGCGACACACGUGAAACGUCGUCGGAAUCCGGGAGGACCAUCUCCCAAGGCUAAAUACU